GACGAACGCUGGCGGCGUGCUUAACACAUGCAAGUCGAACGAAGAGCGAUGGAAGCUUGCUUCUAUCAAUCUUAGUGGCGAACGGGUGAGUAACGCGUAAUCAACCUGCCCUUCAGAGGGGGACAACAGUUGGAAACGACUGCUAAUACCGCAUACGAUCUAAUCUCGGCAUCGAGGAUAGAUGAAAGGUGGCCUCUACAUGUAAGCUAUCACUGAAGGAGGGGAUUGCGCCUGAUUAGCUAGUUGGAGGGGUAACGGCCCACCAAGGCGAUGAUCAGUAGCCGGUCUGAGAGGAUGAACGGCCACAUUGGGACUGAGACACGGCCCAGACUCCUACGGGAGGCAGCAGUGGGGAAUCUUCCGCAAUGGACGAAAGUCUGACGGAGCAACGCCGCGUGAGUGAUGACGGCCUUCGGGUUGUAAAGCUCUGUUAAUCGGGACGAAAGGCCUUCUUGCGAAUAGUGAGAAGGAUUGACGGUACCGGAAGAGAAAGCCACGGCUAACUACGUG
rnacentral:rRNA from 1 species